GGCAGACGGGAGAGUAACACGUGGGAACGUGCCCUUCAGUUCGGAACAACCCAGGAAACUUGGGCUAAUACCGGAUACGUCCGUAAGGAGAAAGAUUUAUCGCUGAAGGAUCGGCCCGCGUCUGAUUAGCUAGUUGGUGAGGUAACGGCUCACCUAGGCGACGAUCAGUAGCUGGUCUGAGAGGAUGAUCAGCCUCACUGGGACUGAGACACGGCCCAGACUCCUACGGGAGGCAGCAGUGGGGAAUAUUGGACAAUGGGCGCAAGCCUGAUCCAGCCAUGCCGCGUGGAUGAUGAAGGCCCUAGGGUUGUAAAGUCCUUUCGGCGGGGAAGAUAAUGACGGUACCCGUAGAAGAAGCCCCGGCUAACUUCGUGCCAGCCGCCGCGG
rnacentral:rRNA from 1 species